UUUAGGUUUUAUAUUCAAGAUUUCAAAGUUUGAUCAAUGGAGUUUCAAGGAGCCAUAAUUUGCCGACUACAACAACAAAGUGUUGUGAUUAUAUUGGGAUGAAGAUCCUUUUAAGAAGUUUAAAAAGUUUGUAGGUAUGUUAAUAAAAUUAAAGCAUAUCAAUGACAAAUCAAGAUGAUGUUGAUCAAAUUAAGGCGCAAUUGAAGACCAUGGAAGAAGUGAUAAGGAAAGACUAUGAUACUUUAGAUUCAAACAAGAUGAUCUCUUAAAAGAAUUGUAUAUUGUAGCUAUUUUCAAAAUUGUAAUACACAACUAUUGAUAACUUGGGAAAUA